GUGCCAGCCGCCGCGGUAAUACGUAGGGGGCAAGCGUUGUCCGGAAUUAUUGGGCGUAAAGCGCGCGCAGGCGGCUUCUUAAGUCAGGUGUGAAAGCCCACGGCUCAACCGUGGAGGGCCACUUGAAACUGGGAAGCUUGAGUGCAGGAGAGGAGAGCGGAAUUCCACGUGUAGCGGUGAAAUGCGUAGAGAUGUGGAGGAACACCCGUGGCGAAGGCGGCUCUCUGGCCUGUAACUGACGCUGAGGCGCGAAAGCGUGGGGAGCGAACAGGAUUAGAAACCCCGGUAGUCCA
rnacentral:rRNA from 1 species